GUGCUGGCUGCUGCCUCAGGCCCUUGGCCCUAUAUACCCCUCUCGGGCCCCUUAAGUUGCAGCUCCAACGUUCUUGGCGCUUCUCCGGGUGUUGGGCUCUUCCCUACUCGGAUCGUGUCCUAGGAAUGUCCUAACUAUACCCGUGGGGAGAACUUCACCCUAAGCCCGGGAUUCCACUCCAAGACCUGGAAGUUGACACCUUGGCUGCCCUGCUCCUGGAUCUGCCUCCUCCUCUCACCAUCUCAUUUCUUCUCCCAGGAUUGCAGUGGGUUCCCCCCGAGGAGAGCUGACUGCCCUGUGCUGCCGCCGACCUUUUGGCAGAGUUGAGCCGAAAUGUCCCCGGAAUCUAAAAAGCUUUUCAACAUCAUUAUUUUAGGAAUUGCCUUUAUGUUUAUGUUCACCGCCUUUCAAACUUGUGGAAAUGUAGCGCAAACUGUCAUCAGGAGCUUAAAUAGCACAGAUUUUCACGGCAGUGGCUAUACCAGCAUGGCAAUUAUUUAUGGAGUGUUCUCUGCUUCAAAUUUGAUUACGCCAUCAGUGGUUGCCAUUGUAGGACCUCAACUCUCUAUGUUUGCUAGUGGUUUAUUUUACAGGUGAGUAGUCCAAUUUUCUUUCAUCUAAUUAGAACGCCUUCAGCUUCUUUCAAGCACAUAGUAAACUUUUAACAAGAACUUGCUGACUUGGAUUGAAUAGAUUAUAGGAAGUAUUUUAGGGAUUUGGUUCUCUACUUGAUGCUCAGGGAUACCAUUGUUUUAAUGUGAUGGAAUUUGUGUAUAUUUGCUUUCAUUUUACCACCAAUAAAAAUAGCAUCCAAAAACCUUUUUCUACAAGAGUUGAAAAAGAACUCAUGAAAUAAUCUUAUUUUGUGUCAAGUUGACUAAUGGGAAUUAAAACGAAAUAACUGAACUUUUUUUUCUGGGCUAUAGAACUGCAGUCCCACUGUGUACUGAGCUGUUGGCAGAGGCCAAUUGCAGACCUUUAUUCAAUGUCUCAGUUCACAA